GUCUCCGUGGUAUAGCGGCGUUUUACGCGUUCCGCCUUGUAAGAAAAUUCUGCUGGACGUUUUGAGGGACGAGACAUGGGGUUCGAUUCCCCAUCGGAGGCC